UAAUAUUGAUAUUUAAUUUGAUUUUUCUUGUUGUGUCUAAACUUGUUUAAGUUAAAUAUAAAUUCAACAUAAUUGACAAAUUUCAUUCAAUUCUCGGUGUUUUCAUUUUCUGUUUCUAGAUUUCUAUCAUUGGUUAACUGUGUUUGUGGCUGGAUUGGGAUCUCAAUUUCAUGUUGAAUGGUCGAUUAACACUCUAUUCAAUUAUUUUGAUCAACCACAUCGAGAUAAAUGUUUAUUAGCUGAUUCAUCAACAAUUUUUCAACCUUCAAUUUGUUGAUUAAUGACGAUUAACCUUCAAAUAAUCAAAAGGGAUGGUUAAAGGUUGAACUCGAAGAUGUAUAUAAAAAGAAAGCUAUUGAGCAACAAAACGAAAGUGUUGCUUUCUUUUUAAGGAGUACAAUUUUCCAUUAUCAAUUAAUAUCAAUUAAUAUCAAUUACAAUUUGUUAAUUAUCGAUACUCACCGAAGGAUGAUGAUGGGUAAUUAAGGUGUCAACAUCGAAUGGACUAGAAUAAUUAGAUGUUUUUUGAAGCUCUUCAAUUUGCUCAGAAAGACUUUUCGCAUUUAUCAAGCCUGUUGGAUUGGAAAGGAGAAAUUUAAGUUCAAUUAUUAGGAUGUUAUUAAGUGGUGUCAAGAAUAUUUGUAGCAAAAAAAGAGACCUGAACAGUAUUCAUCACAACAAUCAUCAUUUUCAAGAAAGAAAAAGUUCAACUCGAUUGGAUUCUAUCAUGGCUGACAUUGUGGAUCAAUUUUUAACAAAACCAGUUAAAUCAUUGAAAAGGGAAAAAGAGACUAAUUAUCGUGUGUUACCGGUUGCAUCUUGGCCCUACCAAUUUAAUUAUCAUCAUAAUUGAAUCCGUCUAAACAAGUUGUAGCUGUCACCAAUUAGUAAAAAUAUUUUGCGCUAAAAAAUGAAGAAAAGCCACCUUCAAUCAUUAGGACUAAACAAAAGCCAAACCAUUUACCAUCAUUUGAUUAAAGUGCACUGAUUCGCUAACUUCAAUCGCGACUGGAAUAUAGAAAUAUCUUAAUUCAUCAGAUCGUCAUUCAAAUCAAUGGCUACUCAAUUGAAGUUUACUAAUGAUGUUUGGAUUGCAGCAGUUUCCCCUUUGUUUACCUGUUGAUCUCAAAUAUAAUAAUUUUUGCAAACUCAACUGUUUAAAGAUUUUAAAUGGCAUUUAAUCGAGAUUUAUAUCAAGCAGUAUGAAAAGACAAGACUCAACAACCAGUUUUAACUACUAAAUAUUAAUAAUUGGUAAAUUUUACGAUUGCAGUUGUUAUUAUAAAAGGAUGAGCUGUCAACCUUUAAUUGUGUCUCCUUACGUUGAAACAAACAAUCAACAUUAUUUCACUCUCUGUUGAUUCGUCAGCACCUUCACCUUCAACUCGUUCACGUUCAAACCAUCAUCAUCAACUUGGAGAUGAUCUAAAUUAUUGAGAUGAGUCUAAAUUAUUUGGAUACUAAUUACUUAUCAACAAAGUUUACGGUCACUGGCAAGGUAAUCCUAAAUCAUGAAAGAUAAUGAAAAUGAAGACAAAAUUGGUUGUGGUUUAAACUUCAUUUCUGGUUUAACUGUACCUUCUCAUUAUUGUAAUUGUUACCAUUUACAAUUAAUUGGCUAGCUCAACAUUUAUUGUCAACAAUAAGGAAGUCUCAUUUUGUGUGCAAGCAAUCAAUUUGAACAAAGAUUAAUAAUCGCUAUUAAUGCUCUUAUAAAUGAGUUAUUUUUGGACCAAUUUACCUAUCUUGGACAUCGGACAAAUGGCAAAGACUAAUCUACUGAUUCUGAUGAAACUAAUUUCAAAUCAAAGUCAACAUUUGGCCAACAUUUCAUGAUGGAGUUACAAUCAUUAUCAGUAAAGGUGAUUGCAUCAAUCAAAGCUAGUUUCAUCGCAUAAAAGGUGUCAACUCGAUGAAAACAAAUGCGAUAAAUAAUGAUUUAUCAUUAUUGGAGGAAAAUGUAAUUGAGUUGAAAAUGAAGCUAAAGCAAUGAAAAGUGAUCGUUUAAAGGUGGAGUUUACCAUUGAAGAUGAAAACCAACAAAGGCCCACAAAAAAUAGCAAGAGAUAAAAAUGGAGUAUUAAACAUUUGUUUGGCUGAAUUAUGAUGAUGGUUGAAAAAGAUGUUCACCCAAUUCAGAAGAAGAAGAGAUGAAUUAGAUGAGUUUUCACGAUUGAAAAAGCACACACAACUCGACUGUGCCGUUUCACAUCAAACUGUUUUUUUGUUUGUGUGUUGGUCUUGUCUUGCUUUUGAUAGCACGGGCUAACCAUGCAAAAGCAAGAUGAGUAUAAAAAAGGGCAAAAAUGGAAUCCAAUCAAGCAUGAUAGGAGUGCGCAACCAAAAAUUUACACUUUAUCAUGAUGCUGAUGACAAUUUGAUUAGCUCUUUCAAAUUAACAUUAUUAGAUUUGAUUUCGAUAAACGUUUUAAAAUUUAUCUUUUUCCAGCAAAUCUCUUCUUUUGCCACAAAUGAUUCUUUUGUCAACAGAUACAAUAAGAUAUUUACCUGGAAUUGCCAGUAAACUUAUACCCAGAAGCAGGUUCACCUGAUCAAAUUUAUCAUCAUCAGUAUCAUUUGUCUCACUUAAUCCUGACAAUCCGCCAUUCAAUUGAAGCUUUUCAAUCAUUGUGUCAAUCUGAUAACCUUUAUCUGUCUUUAAAUGAAACUCAUCUAAUAUCAUUUGUAUAUUCAAACCUAACCAUGGUUGGUUCACUUGGAUAUCGACAUCAAAAUGAAACCAAAUAUUUGAAACUUGAUUAUGAUUCAAUAUUCAAGAUUCCAAAUGAAAAGGCCGAUAACUUGAAACAAUUGAAUGGAAAUGGAAAUAUUGAAAAUUAGAGAAAAAUAAAUUAUCACUUUAAAUUGAUUAGAUUUGAAUGGAUGAGUUUGCUUCAAUUUAAAUUGCUAUUAAAAUCAUUUUACCGUGUCAAGGUUAGGUUAACAUGUUUAUCAUGAUAAAUAGUUGCCGAGUGAAGAAUCAAGAUGAAAUGUUAAUAAAUAAUAGCAACAAUGGUUAAUGUGAA